rnacentral:snRNA from 1 species
AUACUUACCUGGACGGGGUUAAUGGGCGAUCAAGAAGGCUCAUGGCCUAGAUUAGUGGCCUCCAUUGCACUUAGGAGGAACGCUCGUCUACCAUCUCCCCAAGUGGGAGAGUGGACGUCAUAAUUUGUUGUGGCAGAGGGGGUACGCGUUCGCGCGGCCCCUA